GAUGAACGCUGGCGGCGUGCUUAACUCAUGCAAGUCGAACGAUGAAGCUCAGCUUGCUGGGUGGAUUAGUGGCGAACGGGUGAGUAACACGUGAGUAACCUGCCCUUAACUCUGGGAUAAGCCUGGGAAACUAGGUCUAAUACCGGAUAGGAGCGCCUACCGCAUGGUGGGUGUUGGAAAAAUUUAUCGGUUUUGGAUGGACUCGCGGCCUAUCAGCUUGUUGGUGAGGUAAUGGCUCACCAAGGCGACGACGGGUAGCCGGCCUGAGAGGGUGACCGGCCACACUGGGACUGAGACACGGCCCAGACUCCUACGGGAGGCAGCAGUGGGGAAUAUUGCACAAUGGGCGAAAGCCUGAUGCAGCGACGCCGCGUGAGGGAUGACGGCCUUCGGGUUGUAAACCUCUUUCAGUAGGGAAGAAGCGAAAGUGACGGUACCUGCAGAAGAAGCACCGGCUAACUACGUG
rnacentral:rRNA from 1 species